GCUGCAAUCACUUCCGCGGGAUUUUAGGGAUUUUUUCUCUAUUUUUCAUUUUUCUUUCCUUUCUUCUUUUUCUUCUAUUUUCUAAAAAUGUUAGAAAAAUUAUUAAAAAAACUUUAAUUCAAAAAAUUAUAAAUUUAAAAUAGAAUAUAAGAAAGUUUAAAAUUGGAAAAAACUAAUAAUUAAAAUAUCAAAAAUAAAUCUCUAAUUUAAAAAUGAAGUUUAACCAUAUUUUGAAGUGCAAAGGUUCGGGGUCUUGCAAAAGCAAUCCCUAAGCAGACGGAUGUGUGAAGCCAGCCACACGAAAACGAUGGGGGGCAAGUGGCGCAUGAGUCGCUAGAGUGAGAGGCCAAAAUUGUGUCUCUCCAGGUCAAGAAUCUGAAAUCUAAUGCCGAUCUUGGUAAAUUUUUCCGCUUUAUGUUAAAUAUUUCUCUUUUUAAAUUAAAUCUCGUAUGCGAAUUUUAGGAAAUCGGGAGUAGAAAACUAGAAGGGGAGUUGGUUAUGUGAAGCUUGAAGCUGUACAAAUUUUCCCAAUCCCUUUUUCUGUCUAGGAUCCUAGGAAGAUUUGGGUUAGUGUUUGUUUAGUGAGAUCCAACCAUAUUUUAUUAAAGUUUUCUAACAAUUUCCUCAAAAAUUUGCAUAGAUUAUUAUGGGUUUCUGGCAUGUUUUACAUAUAUAUAUAUAUAUAUAUUCUUUGUUUUAGGUCGUAGAUCUGCAUGAGUGCAUGUACCAUUUAAAUAGAUGUAUAUAUAAAUAUAUAUAUAUAGAUAUAUGUGAGUUUGGAAAUAUAUGUGCAUUAUGUGUGUGUAUUGGUAUAAAUUUAUAUUUGUAGUAUAUUGAUGAAGGCGUGGGGGUAUUGAUGAUAUAAACAGGACUAUUCAUGGGUGUGGAUUUGUGUAUGUAAAUAUAGAGUAUAUAUGUAUACCUAAAAUUAUGUGUAAAUAUUGUUAGGUGUGAGAAUUUUAGAUAUAUGUUUAUAGGUCAGUAUAUAUAUAUACAGAUAUUGAUGUGUGUGAAUAUAUAUUUGUAACUAUCUAUGUAUCAGUAUAUAUAUAUAUAUAUAUAUAGGUGAUGAUGUGUGUGAGCAUAUAUGGAGGUAGACAUGAAUGUGGGUGUAUGUGUAAAUGUACAAUAUGUAUAUCAUUAUGGGUAUAAAUAUGUAUGAAUAAGGCUUAAGUAUAUAUGUACAUGUAAGAAAUCAAAGUCAUUGUAUAUGUGUUUAUAAUAAGUGUAAAUAUACGUGUUUAUUAAAUGUGUGUAUAUGUGUAUAAAUAUGUGUACACGUAUAAAUACAAUAUGAGGCAUGUGUAUAUAUAUGUAUAAAACUACGUGUCAAAUAUAUAGGUAAAUAAAUUGUGUAAAUGUGUGUAUGUAGGAGUACGCAUGUAUAUUAGUUUGUGUAUAAAUGUAUAUAUACUUAAACCAUCCAUGUGAGUAUGUAUCUCAUAUAUAUGUUAUGACAUUGAAUAGGUAUCUUAUUUAAGCAAUUAAUUUGAUUUGCAAAAUAAUAAACAAAAGAACUUCUAAAAACGAGAAAAUUUAUUUAGUAGGUAUAAGAGAGGGAGGGAGGGUUUGUGUGUUCUCAGUUUUGGCCCGAGAUUGUAGUGAACCCUACUAUGGGUACAAACUCAGUCAGACAUAGCUGGGAAGUCCCAUACCAGACGUCGUGGUUGGAAAAUUGUCUAUUGGUACCCAUUACUAUUUACGAAAUGAGAAUUUUAUUAGUAUUUGAUUAUUAAUUAUUAUAUUUGAGUAUCCACGUAGUAAAGGAGAUCCUUAUUGCCUUUAGUGUUACUGGUAAAAACAGGAUCGUGCGAUGAAAUUUUAAAAUAAAUAUACAUGAAUAUAUGAAUGGAAAUGAAUUGUGAAAAUCAAUAAAAGUAAUUUAUGCAUAUGUGAACAUUGGUAAUGUUUGUAUCAGUAUGUGAAUUGUAAAUGUGAGUUGGAUAUCAAUACGACUAUGUGAAUGGUGAUAUCAAUAAUUGCUAUAUGGAAUUAUGAAAAUUAGAUAUGAAACAAAGAAAAGAAUUUGUGAAGAACGAAAAUUGAAUAAGAAUUUUUAUUACGUUAAUUUCAAUUUGGCAUCUACUUGCAUUUUUCUUGAUUAAAAUUUGCAUUUGUUUUCUCAACCUUGUGAAUGUUUAUGUGUAAGUCUUUGUUAUGGAUACUGCCAUCUUCUUACAGGAUUAUAAAGAUUUUGAAGAAGCCUUUCAUCUUUUUGUUAGUUUAGUUUGUAUGGUAGAACUAAAUUAUGAUAUUAAUAUAAUUAUAUUUUUAUUGAGUCUCAUGUAUUGUAACUUCGUACAAAUGACAUAUAAUUUGAUUUUUAGCCUAUUACUACGCAAUAGUGAGUUUUAUAUGUGUGGUAGCGUUUCCUCUCUGUAGAGAAGUCGGGACAUUACAUCAUUGUUGAAACAUAAUUUUAUAUAUUCAAAAUCCAUCAGCAUUACUAACAAUACGUUAAUCGCAAGGAUAUGACAAUAAUUAACAUCAUGAUUUUUUGUAAAAUAGUUCUCAUAUAGUAAAAUUUUCCUGUGACAUGAAUGCCUAGAACAUAAACAAGGUAUAUAUGGUAUGUUAAACUCAUGUCAUCUAACAAUAUGUAAUAUAGCUAGUUAAUUUAUCAUUUUUUUUUAAUUAAUCAUAAUGCUGAUGGACAUGAUUUCCUAAAUUAAGAUUCAAUCAAUAGAACAUCUAUUUUCCUUACUUGAUACAGAUAGAUCAUUUAUUAAUAUUUACAUACCUUUGUGGAAUGACUUGUUCUGUAUAAUACAAUAAAAUGCAUAAGUUAAUAGUAUCGAAAUGUUAUAAAACACUCACCUUAAAUCUAAGAAAUAGUCUAUAACAUUGUCACAAUAGAUAUCAUAUAGUUGAUAAACAAGUAAAACUCCAUGAUAAAACUUCAUUACGUAAGUUAACUCAUUCCAUAAAUAGCACCCACUAACUUAUUCUUGUAUGAACCAUACAAGUAAUUAGAUAAGAGCAGUCAAAGUUUUUUGAUUAAGCACAAUAUGUACUAACCUAAACUUAAUUUUAAAAUUAAGUUUUAUGAUCCCAUAAUUAGGAACCUUAAAGGACAUUAUAUUUUGGUUUACAUAAAGAUAUUUAAAUCUUCAAGAUUAGAAAUAGUAUAUAGCUUUGGUUCAUCUUUUAUUACCAUUAAACAAAGGAUAACUUUUUCAUUGUCAAAGUCCUUUUAUUUUCUAAAAGGUAUUCAUUCUCUAAACAUAUAUAACCAUUAAGCCAUUUUCUUUCUUCUCUUGAAGUUUCUUUUUAAGUUGAGGAAAACCAUAUAUAACCUACUUUUAUGCACUCUAAACAAUUCUUAAUUGACUUUGUGCUUUAUUGAAUUCUUUAUUAUGAAAAUUUUUAUUAUUACUUUUGUUUAUAUCAUUUUUUGUUUUUUUUUGGAUUUUACUAAAUGAUGUGAAACUCAAGAUCAACAAUGCAAUAAAAAAAUCGCAUAUAUAACAUUGGCAUUCAAAAAACUUAAAUCUCUAAAUAAGCUCUCCCUAAUUAACUCACAUUCAACCUAUGAAUGCAAACUAAGGUAACUGGGAACAAAAAAGAAAUGGAAAAAAUGCUACAACUUACCCAAUAAGUCGAUUUGAUUCCUUGACUCAACAAGAUGGUUGAAGAAAUCUCACUUGAUCAAACACUCUCUCACAAUUAGCAAUAAGCUAAAAAGUAAUAAUCUGAAUUUUUAUUAAUCUAAAAAGUUGUGUGAUUACAAAGUAAAGGUGAGUUCUUUAUAUAUACAUUCAUCGGAUUAAUUCUACUUAAACUCAAAAAUUAAAAUCUUAAUUAAAUACUUAACUUAACUCAAUCUAAAACUGAAUUAAAAUAAUAAUUAAAAGAAACAAAAAUAACUAGGAUAGUUCUUCUCCUCUCUUGGCCGAUUCUUGAAUCCUUUUCGGAUUGAAAUACUUCUUAUCUUCACAGCUUGAUAUUCUCUUUAUUUAGUUAAUUAAAUUGAGGAAGUUGAAUUAAAGAAGGAUGAAACUUACAGGUUUGAAGCAUAAAACACAUGUGGAAAUUCGACAAGGAAGAAUUCUUGCUUGGCCAAAUUCUUCUGAGUCUUGAAUUCUUUUCUCUCUUAAAUAUUUUGUCUUUCUCUUGAAUUCUCUCUUCUAAUCAAUGUAGAACUCUUCAUGUGACGAAUCCCAGCUGAAAAAAAAAUCAAGAAAUGAGAAAAGACAUGUGAAAGGAGAGAGAGAAGAGGUCUCUCUCUCAAGUUUAACUUCUCCUGCAUGGGUAGAAGCCUUCUUUCACUAAAACUCGUUCUUGGGGGUUUGCCUUCCUCUAGGACUCUCCCUUGGGUUUCUUGUUAUCCUUAUCUUCUUUUUGCUGCUAAAUCAAAUCUAAAAAGGACUCUUUGAACCGAUCUUGAGAGAAGGAGAAGUGUGUAAGGACUCUUCCUCACAGAUGAGAGAAUCCCACGUGUGCAGGUUCUCCUCCUCCCACAUGUCCGAGCCUGUACAUGUGAACUAAGCUGCUCACAUGCCCACAAUGUGGUUAUUGUGGGCCUCUAUGGCCGAUGUGGCCAAACUUGUACUCUUGUUGGGCCAACCCAAGGCCUUUUUUCUUGCCAUGUAACCUCCCAAGCUCGCAGAUUGGCACAUAUACCCCAAUUCUAUGGCCUUGAGCAUUUUUGGGCUUUCGAAUGGGAUCAGACCUCACUUGUUGUUAGGUUGAGCUAGAAGUCCUCUUAGAAUAGAAUCAAGUUCGUUGUG
rnacentral:lncRNA from 1 species